UCUAGAGUUUUGUGAUUGGACAGAAUUUUAUGCGACAUUUGCCGUUCUCUGGUUGGUGAUAUACCAGUGUUCAGUAAACACCGGAAAUGUUCAUGAGAAACUAUGCAGACAAAACAAUGCCAUAUAUCCGAUAAGACGCACUGUUGCUGCAUCUAGGCACCGCAGAAAGAGGAGACGUGCUCUGGAGGCAUAUAAUGACCUAUUCACUGGACACUUUGUAUUCUGACGACGCAUCAGCUCUCGUCAUGUUGGAUGAAGAGAACUCUUGGUGGACAUUGGAUCAUCAGGCCUCUCUCCAAGGAAUCAGGAGGACAAGCUGAUAAAAAAAACACAUACCGAGCAGCUGCCACCAUGCUUUCCAUGCAGUUGAGAUGAUACUGGACAGGUGGUGGGCAAGCUGUAGCAGUAACUCAAAGGUCAUCAAGAGAGAUGCAAAGCACCUGUGCUGUUAUUCAUGAUCCUGAACUGCCUGGUUUAACAAGUCAGUGUGGUAUUUCUCUUUCUGAAUAUUCAGUUUUUAUUGCAGUUUAGUAUAAAGCUGCAGCAUAAAAUGUAGAAAGUAAAAGGAAGUCUAAAUUCUUGAAAGCUGUGUGAAUCAAAAUAAAACCAGAGGGAAAUUUUCACUCUCGUGACAUGUGUUUAUUUCCCUAUAUACAAACAAUC